GUUUUCCUCCUGUUAACAGCAUCCCCCGACAUGUAAAAGCUGGUAAGGGACAAGGGGGCAUCCCCUGGAGCUGAUGUCUGGCCGAGCAGAGCAAGAGGUGUCUGAGCCUGUUACUGAAGGUGCUGAGCAAGCUGCGUCUGGCUCUUGAGAAGCAGCGAGGGCUUUGGACUGCCUUCCCCACCUUGUUUCUGGCCGUUGCGGUGCAUCCCUCUCGCUCUGGUCCCCUGGCCACAUCACCUGCAGCAGUGACAGGCAGCACCAGCCUCGUGCCACGCUGUCCUUCACCUCCACACCACGCUGCGAGCAGUCCCACGAGGCUGCCUCGGGGCCGGGGCAGAGCAGGGAGCUUCAGGGCACGAGCCAAGGUGCAGCAUAUGGCCGAGCGACCUGCCAAGCGCCCGGGAGCAGGAUGCGUCCCAGAUAAGGGUCCCCUGCCGUGCUGUCGGUGGCUCGCUCCAAGCACUGUCCCCUUGCUGGUGUCCCUCCCUUACAGGCUGCUUGUCUGAACACGCGAUUUUCCUCUAGCAUUAGAGGAGCACCAGAGACGUGGAAGGGAUGGGCAUCGCGUAGUGCUCAUGAUGAGGCAGGAGCAUCGUUGUACAGGGUUUUUUUUUCUUCUGUGCUGUGAUGGAGACUGGGAUGUGCGGUCACCUUCCUCCUUCCUUUUCUAAAGCAGACCGUGAUUUAAGGCACUGCAAGGCUUGGGAGAGGGGCUGCAUCGAAAACCACUCAGAAGUGUUUUUUGGGGGGCUAAUAAACUCAAUGACACCCCGUACCUGAGCUUUAACAUUUUCAUGUCCUGCCCCAAAUCAGCAGAAGGGCAAAUUUUGGUAUUCAAUCUGAAUGUGAUGCCGCUAGCGAGAGCGACUCAAUUCUCCAGGCAAAUCCCUUCCGAAAGCUUAAAGCAACGAGAAAAGACCCAACAGAGGCAAACUUUGAUGUGCAACUCCCACCGCUUCCCCUUUGUCCUGUUCUGGGUGUCGCUGGGCUCACCGCAGCCUCCCACAUUCACUGCUACGUGUCCAGGCUGCCGAGGCUGCUCGUGCCUGAGCUGUGCAGGAGGGCUGGAUGGCAGGCGGGGGGAGCCUGGGGGGAAAAUGCCUCUCACUGAAGAUGAGGGGCAAAUGUCACGUUUUUUUUCUGAAA